CCCUUAGAUGUUCUGGGCCGCACGCGCGCUACACUGAUGAAUGCAACGAGCUCUACCCUUGACCGAAAGGCCCGGGUAAACUUGUGAAACUCCAUCGUGAUGGGGAUAGAUUAUUGCAAUUAUUAAUCUUCAACGAGGAAUUCCUAGUAAGCGCGAGUCAUCAGCUCGCGUUGAUUACGUCCCUGCCCUUUGUACACACCGCCCGUCGCUCCUACCGAUUGAAUGGUCCGGUGAAAUCUUCGGAUUGCUGACCAAGAUCCAGCAAUGGAGCUUGGUUGCGAGAAGUUGAUUAAACCUUAUUAUUUAGAGGAAGGAGAAGUCGUAACA
rnacentral:rRNA from 1 species